GCUGGGCGUGGUGGCGGGCGCCUGUAGUCCCAGCUACUCGGGAGGCUGAGGCAGGAGAAUGGCGUGAACCCAGGAGGCGGAGAUUGCAGUGAGCCAAGAUCUUGCCACUGCACUCCAGCCUGGGUGAUAGAGCAAGACUCUGUCUCAA
rnacentral:sRNA from 1 species